rnacentral:tRNA from 1 species
UUAAUUGAAGCCAAAACGGAGGCCUUUCAUUGUUAAUGAAAUAAUUGAUUAUAUUAAUCCAAUUAAA